rnacentral:lncRNA from 1 species
GGACAUAAUUCUCAACACUUCACCCUUAGGUCAUUAUCUGUCCACUUAUUUAAAGCAGCUCUUUGCUCUGCCGUAGGAUGGGCUAGUAAGGCUAGGCAUUCUGGUCAAGUACAUAUCCAAUCUUUUUUGAUGUCAGGAAUAUCUUGAGAUUUCUGAGCCAGUCCUUAUAAUUUGUAUCGAUCAGUCGAUUGAUUUCAAAGAUGCAGGCUAGUGGGUUGAGGCCGACAUUGUUUAUCUGUGAGAGUAGAGAUUUUAGUUAGAUAUUUGUACUUAAAAUUAUAUUUGCUCUAGAGAUUUUUAGAUGCAAAUGGACUCUCACUAUUUUUUCGGAUUUUGAUACUCUCCGGAUGAAAAACAAAAAUCUGAUGCGACCAAUGUAAGAUUUGUAGUGGAUGCUACGGUCCCACCGAUGCCAUACACCUCACCUAAUAGUUAUUUGAAAGAAAAGUGCCUUAUAAGCCAAUUGCAAAUAUGUUGCAAUGGGACUUUUCUUUAUAAUUUUUUAACUCAUGUAAUGAUAUUUAUUAUUUGAAGUAUUGAUUCAUCAUUUUAGCUGCAUCUUAUUAUGUUUAAGAUUAUGAUAAACCUCAAAGAUUAGGACAAUGAUUUUAGGAGAUAUGAAUGGAUCAUGCUAGUGAGAUCUAAUACCCUAAAAUUUUAAUUUUAAAUAUUCCUGAUUGUAGGAGCACUGAGUUGGAGAUCAAUAUUUCGGAUAGACUGGCACAUCCUAUAUAUGCUCAAUUGGAG